AACAAGGCGUACCUGCGGACCUGCGGAAGGAUCAUUACCGAGUGUGGCCCCCCAAAAAAAGGGGGGUACCUCCCGUCCUUUGCAGGGCCCUUUGGGGCUUUUUGAACUUUGCUUCGGCGGGGUUAACCCGCCGGAACACCCUCAAGAAAAUCUUUUAUAGACUGUUGUCUGAGUUACUUGCGAAAUAAAACAAAACUUUUAACAAUGGAUCU
rnacentral:misc_RNA from 1 species